AUUGAACGCUGGCGGCAUGCCUUACACAUGCAAGUCGAACGGCAGCACGGGUGCUUGCACCUGGUGGCGAGUGGCGAACGGGUGAGUAAUACAUCGGAACAUGUCCUGUAGUGGGGGAUAGCCCGGCGAAAGCCGGAUUAAUACCGCAUACGAUCCACGGAUGAAAGCGGGGGCCCUUCGGGCCUCGCGCUAUAGGGUUGGCCGAUGGCUGAUUGGCUAGUUGGUGGGGUAAAGGCCUACCAAGGCGACAAUCAGUAGCUGGUCUGAGAGGACGACCAGCCACACUGGGACUGAGACACGGCCCAGACUCCUACGGGAGGCAGCAGUGGGGAAUUUUGGACAAUGGGCGAAAGCCUGAUCCAGCAAUGCCGCGUGUGUGAAGAAGGCCUUCGGGUUGUAAAGCACUUUUGUCCGGAAAGAAAUCCUUGACUCUAAUACAGCCGGGGGAUGACGGUACCGGAAGAAUAAGCACCGGCUAACUACGUG
rnacentral:rRNA from 1 species